AGAAGUCAGAGAACAGCAACAGGCGUAGGAAGGCAAAUCUCCUUUCCACCAGCAAGACAAAGAGAAUAAACCCAACUUUCCUCUACGAGCAGGGUUGUGAAAAUUGCAAGAAGUAAACACUGUGAGAGUUUGUACCUGUGUGCAUGGCAGCUGGGAAUUGUCCUUCCCUUUGCCUGGGACAGGCACUGGGGCCAGCAGCCUGUUUUAUCUCACCUUCAGCAACGCACCGUCCCGGGCUUCGAUGCGGAGAGCUGCAGCAUUUUUCUCUCUUGGGAUUUUAAUGUCAUCUUACACAUCAAGAGGAUUCAAAUGACAAGAAUGAAUGGCAGUAGCCAACCUCACGGCUUGAUAUUCUGAUGAAAUGAUGCCCUGGCACAUCCAUCAUGCUGUUUUGCUGUCAAGAGAGUUCCCGUCUCUGUAAGAUGAGUGUGUUUUUCUUUUAUGGUGUUAAAAAAAAAUAAAAAAAGAGCAGGAAAAAGAGGUAAGCGUCUGUCCUCAGGUCUUACUACCACACAGAUGUAACUUAGGUACAGCUCCAAACAGAGGACGUGGAUGAGCUCACCUGGAUGGAGGUCACACCCGUGAGCGGGAGCAAAGCACGAGGGGUGAGCGUACAGGAGAGCAAUGCAGUGAGGAUAUUUGCAAACCACAGGGCUGCACGAUGUGGGGAUGCAGAUACUGUGCCAGUUGCCUGGGCAACCCUCCCUUCUGCAAGGUGCCCCUUUGUCUUUCCUGAGUUUUAAGUAAGGUGCCUCAUUCUAAAAUGCAGAUUCUCCAAGCUGUAAGUAAGACUCACCUCCUAAUGCUGUAAAUAAGACUUCUCUCCUGGUGCUCUUCCCUCCAAUCCUUUCAGUGCCUGCUUUCGGCAGCACUGCUGGUGGUUAUCAAGACAUGAAAUCGAGAGCAGCUCCAUGGGCGUCGCUUGUUUGGGGUGAGACAGGAGGUCCCCAGCAAUAAGCACAGAUCCCAUAAUGAGAGAUCACCCCCUCUUCCCUUAUUUUUGCUCCUACUGAGCACUGGGUUGCUCCAUUUUGCUGCCUGCCCUUUGAUGCACAGAGCCUGCAGGGAAUAAAGCCCGGUGGGAGACUGCUGACGUGGUUUCUUUCCUGUUAGUUUCUUGUAUGGGCUGAAAAUAAAGACAACGAAGAAGAAAAUCUGCGAAAAGUAGUUCAAGGUGUGAAGAAUUCAUAUGGCAGGAAAAUACAUAAAGUGUUAUCGGCUCUGUCCCCCUUGGCUCCAGCCUCAAUCGGCUCACCAUGCUGUGUGUUUAUCCCUCUAUUUUUACACAUAACAAUAGGGAAAUGUUAGUGAGUUCCAUGCUCAACCAGUCUGUCCCUGCCCCCAGCAAGCAAAGACCACGCUGGCUCCAGCUCACACUGCCUGGCAUCUGAUUGCAGCCUAGCAGGGUGUUUCAAUACCAAUAAACAUCUUGUUUCCAUG
rnacentral:lncRNA from 1 species